UGUUGCCAGCAUUCAGUUGGGACUCAUAGGAGACUGCCGGCGUCAAGCCGGAGGAAGGUGGGAUGACGCAAGUCAUCAUGCCCCUUAUGUCCUGGGCUGCACACGUGCUACAAUGGUCGGUACAAUGGGCUGCGAUGCCGCGAGGCGGAGCGAAUCCCAUAAAACCGGCCCCAGUUCGGAUCGAAGGCUGCAACUCGCCUUCGUGAAGUCGGAGUUGCUAGUAAUCGCGGAUCCAGCCAUGCCGCGUUCGAUGUUCCGGCCUU
rnacentral:rRNA from 1 species